GGAGAAGUACUCAAGUGGCCAAAGAGGAGCCCCUGCUAAGGGCUUAGGUCGUCUUAACAACGGCGCGAGGGUUCGAAUCCCUCCUUCUCCG
rnacentral:tRNA from 2 species